AAACAAGGAAGUACAGCAGCCAAUAGGGUGGGAGCGACGUCGUGACGUCAGCAACGACAGCCCGACGUGUUAUUUCUGCAACGUACAAAACGUCUUGUACAGACGCAAGGUUUCUAAUCAACGUUAACAGUGCUGGGUGUAUUGUCUUUGGAUAGAAAGUGUUUCUAUGGCAAGAGGUUCUGGCCCGGAUGGAUCGUAGUCUCCUACCUGAGGGGAGUGUCUCAAACAGAAUGUGUUCAGGAUUUCAGAUCUCCUGGAAGUGUACAGGUCCUGAAGGGAUGGCAGGUGGCAGCCGAUCACCUUCUCACCUUUGUCCUUGACAGUGGCAGCAGCUUACCAGGCAGGGAUAGAGGAGGUCAUUGUGUAUGGCUUGGUUCUCGGGGUUGGUUUCCAUUUUAACUCCUGUGGUGAUUCCCAAAGCUCCAAGCACAGCUUUUCCGGUUUUCAUUCCUCUGGACAUCGGAAUACGACUGAAACCUGAUCGUGCUGAU